rnacentral:sRNA from 17 species
GCCGGAGGGAUAUUUGUUAAAAAGUGCGCCGUGUGGUGAAUCCCCCUGUGCGGUGGGGCGACUGGUGUACAUAGCAUUUAUUAUGUUAUGAGCGAAGCCUACGCGGGUUCAGUGACACCGACUGAAUUCACCGGGAGGCACCCGGCACCAUGCAACAGACGCAAGUUAGGCUAAGCCUUAUACCCCUGUAAGUUUUUUACAGGGGUUUUUUGUGC